GUGCUUGCUUCAGUAUCACAUAUAUUAAAAUUGGAAUGAUACAAAGAUUAGCAUGGCCCCUGUGCAAGGAUGAUACUCAAAUUCAUGAAAUGUUCCAUAUUUUU
rfam:Pteropus alecto contig51236, whole genome shotgun sequence.